UACAGAGGGUGCGAGCGUUGUUCGGAAUUAUUGGGCGUAAAGCGCUUGUAGGCGGCACGUCAAGUCGCGUGUGAAAUCCCCAGGCUUAACCUGGGAAGUGCGCGCGAAACUGACGAGCUUGAGUGCCGGAGAGGGUCGCGGAAUUCCCGGUGUAGAGGUGAAAUUCGUAGAUAUCGGGAGGAACACCAGUGGCGAAGGCGGCGACCUGGACGGACACUGACGCUGAGACGCGAAAGCGUGGGGGAGCAAACAGG
rnacentral:rRNA from 1 species